AACAUUUCCAGUAGCGGGGGAUAACCUGUCGAAAGAUAGGCUAAUACCGCAUACGAUCUACGGAUGAAAGCGGGGGACCGAAAGGCCUCGCACUAUUGAAGUGGCCGAUGUCGGAUUAGCUAGUUGGUAGGGUAAAAGCCUACCAAGGCAACGAUCCGUAGCUGGUCUGAGAGGACGAUCAGCCACACUGGAACUGAGACACGGUCCAGACUCCUACGGGAGGCAGCAGUGGGGAAUUUUGGACAAUGGGCGCAAGCCUGAUCCAGCCAUGCCGCGUGAGU
rnacentral:rRNA from 1 species